GGACUACACGGGUUUCUAAUCCUGUUUGCUCCCCACGCUUUCGCACCUCAGCGUCAAUACACGUCCAGUGGGCCGCCUUCGCCACUGGUGUUCUUCCGAAUAUCUACGAAUUUCACCUCUACACUCGGAAUUCCACCCACCUCUCCGUGAUUCUAGCCUUCCAGUUUCAAGGGCUAUUCCGGGGUUGAGCCCCGGGCUUUCACCCCUGACUUGAAAAGCCGCCUACGUGCGCUUUACGCCCAGUAAUUCCGAACAACGCUAGCUCCCUCCGUAUUACCGCGGCUGCUGGCAC
rnacentral:rRNA from 1 species